AACGCACCUUGCGCUCCUUGGUAUUCCGAGGAGCAUGCCUGUUUGAGUGUCAUGGAACCAUCAACUUCGAGAGAGUUUUUUUUCUCUUUCGAGGCUUGGAUAUUGGGAGCUUGCUGGCUGCGGUCGGCUCUCCUUGAAUAAAUUAGCUGCAUCUCACAAAAGUCCAGCUGCACGGUGUGAUAAUUAUCUGCAUCGUCUUGAGCUUUUGGCGGGUCGGCUUCUAAUCGUCUUCGUGACAUUUUUGACCUCUGACCUCAAAUCAGGUAGGAUUACCCGCUGAACUUAA
rnacentral:misc_RNA from 1 species